GUUGUUCGGAUUCACUGGGCGUAAAGGGUGCGUAGGCGGUCGGGUAAGUCUGAUGUGAAAUCUCACAGCUUAACUGUGAAACUGCAUUGGAUACUAUUCGGCUUGAGAGUUGGAGGGGGGACUGGAAUUCUUGGUGUAGCAGUGAAAUGCGUAGAUAUCAAGAGGAACACCAGUGGCGAAGGCGAGUCCCUGGACAACUUCUGACGCUGAGGCACGAAAGCUAGGGGAGCAAACAGG
rnacentral:rRNA from 1 species